rnacentral:Y_RNA from 1 species
CGCUGGUCCGAUGGCAGUGGGUUAUCAGAACUUAUUAACAUUAGUGUCACUAAAGUUGGUAUACCACCCCCCCACUGCUAAAUUUGACUGGCUUUGA